AAUCAACGCUGGCGGCGUGCCUCAGACAUGCAAGUCGAACGAGAACCUCCCUUCGGGGGAGGGGACAGUGGCGCACGGGUGAGUAACACGUGGGUAAUUUACCUUUGGGUGGGGAACAACAGCCGGAAACGGCUGCUAAUACCGCAUAAUGCAGCGGCUCGACAUCGAGACAGUUGUUAAAGCGGGGGAUCGCAAGACCUCGCGCCUGAAGAGAAGCCUGCGGCGGAUUAGCAGUUGGUAGGGUAAUGGCCUACCAAGGCGACGAUCUGUAACCGGCCUGAGAGGGCGGUCGGUCACACUGACACUGACAUACGGGUCGAGACUCCUACGGGAGGCAGCAGUCGGGAAUUUUGGGCAAUGGGCGAAAGCCUGACCCAGCAACGCCGCGUGAAGG
rnacentral:rRNA from 1 species